UCCCAGCCCCACUGUGGGGACCAGGGGCUGUGUGCACCAUGGCCUGGGCUCCUGUCCUGCUCGUGCUCCUCUCUCACUGCACAGGUUCCCUGUCCCAGCCUGUGGUGACUCAGCCGCCCUCCCUCUCUGCAUCUCCUGGGGCAUCAGCCAGACUCACCUGCACCUUGAGAAGUGACAUCAGUGUUGGUGGUAAAAACAUGUACUGGUACCAGCAGAAGCCAGGGAGCCCGCCCCGGUACCUGCUGUACUACUACUCAGACUCGGAUAAGCACCAGGGCUCCGGGGUCCCCAGCCGCUUCUCUGGCUCCAAAGACGCCUCGGCCAACGCAGGGAUUCUGCACAUCUCUGGGUUGCAGCCUGAGGACGAGGCUGACUAUUACUGUAAUAUAUGGGAUGGCAGCUCUAAGAGUUAUGUGUUCGGCGGUGGAACCAAGCUGACCGUCCUAGGUCAGCCCAAGGCCGCCCCCUCGGUCACUCUGUUCCCGCCCUCCUCUGAGGAGAUCGAAGCCAACAAGGCCACACUGGUGUGUCUGAUGAGUGACUUCUACCCGGGCGCCGUCAGCGUGGCCUGGAAGGCAGACGGCAGCGCCGUCACCCAGGGCGUGGAGACCACCCAGGCCUCGAAACAGAGCAACGGCAAGUACGCGGCCAGCAGCUACCUGAGCCUGUCCCCCGCCCAGUGGAAAGCUGGCGGCAGGUUCAGCUGCCAGGUCACGCACGAAGGCAGCACCGUGGAGAAGACAGUGGCCCCUGCAGAGUGUGCUUAGGCCCCGGCCCCACCGCCCUCGGGGCCUGGAGCUGCAGGGGCCAGGGGAGGGGCCUCCCCUCCCUCCCAGCUCAUCCCCCCCUGCCCUGCACCCGAUGAACCCUCAAUAAAUAUCCUCGUUGUCAAUCAGAAA